UACAGGAGGGUGCUAGCGUUGUUCGGAAUCAUUGGGCGUAAAGGGCGUGUAGGCGGUUCGUCAAGUCGGUGUGUUAAAGCCCCUGGCUCAACUGGGGGAGGUCAUGCGAGACUGACAGACUUGAGGGCAGUAGAGGCACGUGGGAACUCCCGGUGUAGCGGUGGAAAUGCGUAGAGAUCGGGAAGAACACCCGUGGCGAAGGCGACGUGCUGGGCUGAACCUGACGCUGAGAUGCGAAAGUGUGGGGGAGCAAACGGG
rnacentral:rRNA from 1 species